rnacentral:miRNA from 1 species
GUGUGUGUGUGUGUGCAUGUAAGCCUGUGUACUUGUGCAUGCACACACACACACACACACACACACACACACACACAC